rnacentral:rRNA from 1 species
GAUUAGGUGUAGGCGUAGCGAAAGCAAGUCUUAAAUGGGCGAAUAGUUGUAUGAAUUAGACCCGAAAACGAAUGAGCUUACCAUGAGCAGGUUGAAAGCAGGGUAACACUUGCCGGAGGACCGAACCAGUUGACGUUGAAAAGUCUUUGGAUGACUUGUGGUAAGGGGUGAAAGGCCAACCAAAUUCGUAGAUAGCUGGUUUUCCGCGAAAACUAUUUAGGUAGUGCGUUGAAUAAACAUAUGUUUGGAGGUAGAGCACUAAACGGGCUAGGGGACAGAAAUGUUUACCAAACCUGAUAAAACUCCGAAUGCCAAACAUAAUUCCUCAACAGACAGACUGUGGGUGCUAAGGUCCAUGGUCGAGAGGGGAACAGCCCAGAUCACCAGAUAAGGUCCCUAAAUCAUGAUUAAGUGUGAAAGGAUGUGGAGAUUCCUAAACAGCCGGGAGGUUGGCUUAGAAGCAGCCAUCCUUUAAAGAUAGCGUAACAGCUCACCGGUCUAAUAGAGUUUCUGCGCCAAAGAUGUAACGGGGCUCAAAUCAUGUACCGAAUCUGUGGGUGUGUAAGUUUUUCGAAAUUUACAUGCGGUAGCGGAACGUUCUGUAAGCCUGCAAAGGUGUACCCGCGAGGGACACUGGAGGUAUCAGAAGUGCGAAUGCUGACAUAAGUAACGAUUAACAGAGUGAAAAACUCUGUCGCCGAAAAUCCAAGGGUUCCUGCGCAAGGUUAAUCCGCGCAGGGUUAGUCGGCCCCUAAGUCGAGGGCGAAAGCCGUAGACGAUGGGAACAAGGUUAAUAUUCCUUGACCAGAUGGAAGUGACGGAUUUUGUAAGUUGUUAACUCUUAAUGGAUUGAGUUAGCUGCGAAAAAGUCCCAGGAAAUAGCUCCAUCAUAAGACCGUACCCUAAACCGACACAGGUGGAUUAUUUGAGUAUAAUUAGGCGCUUGAGAGAAUGAUGUUGAAGGAACUCGGCAAAAUGCCUCUGUAACUUCGGAAGAAAGAGGAUCUAUUUUAAGGCAACUUAAAAUAGGUGUCACAAUCCAGGGAGAAGCGACUGUUUAUCAAAAACACAGGGCUCUGCUAACACGUAAGUGGAUGUAUAGGGUCUGACGCCUGCCCGGUGCUGGAAGGUUAAUGUGGUGAGUGCAAGCUCACUCCUGAAGCCCCAGUGAACGGCGGCCGUAACUAUAACGGUCCUAAGGUAGCGAAAUUCCUUGUCGGGUAAGUUCCGACCUGCAUGAAUGGCGUAACGAUUUCUCCGCUGUCUCCAACAUCAACUCAGUGAAAUUGAAUUCUCCGUGAAGAUGCGGAGUUCCCGUGGUUAGACGGAAAGACCCCGUGCACCUUUACUACAACUUUAUAUUGGUGUUAGGAAUGAUAUGUUUAGCAUAGGAGGGAGA